AACGAACGCUGGCGGCGUGGCUAAGACAUGCAAGUCGAACGAUAGCUUGUAGCAAUAUGAGCUAUAGUGGCGGACGGGUGAGUAAUAAAUAGGUAACGUACCCCGGGUCCAGGGAUAGCGUCGGGCGAAAGCCCUUUGCGAAAGUGGCGGUAAUACCUGGUAAUGUCUUUCGGUGGCAUCAUCGGAAGACCAUAGGGUGGGGGACCUUC
rnacentral:rRNA from 1 species